CCUACGGGAGGCAGCAGUAGGGAAUCUUCCACAAUGGGCGAAAGCCUGAUGGAGCAACGCCGCGUGGGUGAAGAAGGUCUUCGGAUCGUAAAACCCUGUUGUUAGAGAAGAAAGUGCGUGAGAGUAACUGUUCACGUUUCGACGGUAUCUAACCAGAAAGCCACGGCUAACUACGUGCCAGCAGCCGCGGUAAUACGUAGGUGGCAAGCGUUAUCCGGAUUUAUUGGGCGUAAAGGGAACGCAGGCGGUCUUUUAGUUCUGAUGUUAAAGCCUUCGGCUUAACCGGAGUAGUGCAUUGGAAACUGGGAGACUUGAGUGCAGAAGAGGAGAGUGGAACUCGAUGUGUAGCGGUGAAAUGCGUAGAUAUAUGGAAGAACACCAGUGGCGAAAGCGGCUCUCUGGUCUGUAACUGACGCUGAGGUUCGAAAGCGUGGGUAGCAAACAGGAUUAGAUACCCUAGUAGUC
rnacentral:rRNA from 1 species